GUGGGGAAUAUUGGACAAUGGGUGAAAGCCUGAUCCAGCAAUGCCGCGUGAGUGAAGAAGGCCUUCGGGUUGUAAAGCUCUUUUACCCGGGAAGAUAAUGACUGUACCGGGAGAAUAAGCCCCGGCUAACUCCGUGCCAGCAGCCGCGGUAAUACGGAGGGGGCUAGCGUUGGUCGGAAUUACUGGGCGUAAAGCGCACGUAGGCGGUCUUUUAAGUCAGAGGUGAAAGCCCGGGGCUCAACUCCGGAAUGGACUUUGAAACGGGAAGACUUGAACACGGGAGAGGUGAGUGGAAUUCCGAGUGUAGAGGUGAAAUUCGUAGAUAUUCGGAGGAACACCAGUGGCGAAGGCGGCUCACUGGACCGAUGUAGACGCUGAGGUGCGAAAGCGUGGGGAGCAAACAGGAUUAGAAACCCUGGUAGUCC
rnacentral:rRNA from 1 species